rnacentral:rRNA from 1 species
UACGUAGGUGGCAAGCGUUGUCCGGAAUUAUUUGGGCGUAAAGCGCGCGCAGGCGGUCCUUUAAGUCUGAUGUGAAAGCCCACGGCUCAACCGUGGAGGGUCAUUGGAAACUGGGGGACUUUGAGUACAGAAGAGAAGAGUGGAAUUCCACGUGUAGCGGUGAAAUGCGUAGAGAAUGUGGAGGAACACCAGUGGCGAAGGCGACUCUUUGGUCUGUAACUGACGCUGAGGCGCGAAAGCGUUGGGGAGCAAACAGG